rfam:Trichobilharzia regenti genome assembly, scaffold: TRE_scaffold0020985
GCGUCGGUGGCAUAGCGGUUAGGACGCUCGCCGACCAAGCUCAUGGUCCGGGGUUCGAUUCCCGGCCGACGCA